rnacentral:lncRNA from 1 species
UUCUGGGUUAACACUGCUCUGUGGAGAUGCUCAGGACUCGGGUGGGAAGCUCAGGUGGAUGAACGAGGCCUUUGGGAAGACAGAUCUUCUCAGAGCGUCAGAGGUCCGUCCACAGGGCAUCGAAGCUGACCGGAUUACAAGUUCGGGUCUUAGAGGAUGGAUCAGAUAGAUCAUCAUGGAAGUGCUGUCAUCGGGGCUGUGGAAGUCUGUGAGGUAGGAGGCGUCGUGGCGUCGUCCGGGGUCAGCAUCGUCGCAGCGCUGGCACUGUAGCCCAGCCCCUGGUGCCCCCACGUGUGGACAGAAGUCCUCCGGGGGCCGUCCGCACGUGUGGGAGGCCUCGGCGCGUCGGCCGAACGCCGCGUUCUCGAACUCAGGCAGACAGCGCUGUGCGCGUCCCACACCGUCGUAGCAAGAGCCCAUGUCCGCGCCUGCCGCGAAGUGUGUCUCCUGAAUCACCAGCGCCAUCGAUGCCACCGUUGCCAGGAGGGACAGGACCCUGGAUACAGCCAUGGUCCUCGCCCCGCUCUGCACUGCUCCGGGAUCCACUCUACGCUGCGGUCUGCGCUUAGCCCCUCUGCGCUCCACUGGCCCCUGGAGUCCUCCCCUGCAGGCGGAACCCGACGGCAUCUGAGGGCGGGACCCAUGCAGGCGACACCCCACCAUCCGAGCUCCGUCCCUUCGUGCUCACCCCCACCUGCUGGACGUGCCUGGGAGUGCCUGCUUGUUCUGGCUGGGUCGUGGACUCGGGAACUGUGAACCUGGCUCCACAGUCCUCCCUGCAAAAUGGUCUCGGUAGAGACACCAAGUUAUUCUGCUAAUGCGGCUCUUCUAUGGAAGCUCUGCACUUGUGUACCUUCCUGAGCUGAAAGGCAAGACAAGCGCAGGUCUUCACCUGACAGAAUGACCUUUGGCAGUUUUCC